rnacentral:rRNA from 1 species
CGGCGGACGGGUGAGUAACGCGUGGGUAACCUGCCUCAUACAGGGGGAUAACAGUUGGAAACGGGCUGCUAAUACCGCAUAAGCGCACAGUACCGCAUGGUACCGUGUGAAAAACUCCGGUGGUAUGAGAUGGACCCGCGUCUGAUUAGCUAGUUGGUGGGGUAACGGCCUACCAAGGCGACGAUCAGUAGCCGACCUGAGAGGGUGACCGGCCACAUUGGGACUGAGACACGGCCCAA